rnacentral:rRNA from 1 species
UCCUACGGGAGGCAGCAGUGGGGAAUAUUGCGCAAUGGGGGAAACCCUGACGCAGCAACGCCGCGUGAAGGAUGAAGGUUUUCGGAUUGUAAACUUCUUUGAUGAGGGACGAAAAAUGACGGUACCUCAAAAACAAGCCACGGCUAACUACGUGCCAGCAGCCGCGGUAAUACGUAGGUGGCGAGCGUUGUCCGGAAUUACUGGGUGUAAAGGGCGUGUAGGCGGGGAAAUAAGUCAGAUGUGAAAUUCCAUGGCUCAACUGUGGCGCUGCAUCUGAAACUAUAUCUCUUGAGUGCUGGAGAGGAAAGCGGAAUUCCUAGUGUAGCGGUGAAAUGCGUAGAUAUUAGGAGGAACACCAGUGGCGAAGGCGGCUUUCUGGACAGUAACUGACGCUGAGGCGCGAAAGCGUGGGGAGCAAACAGGAUUAGAUACCCCGGUAGC